CCGCCACCCCGACAGUUAACGGGACAAAAAGCUCCGAGGGGGCGGGGCGACAACAGUACGUUCCCUAGCAAAAGCUUCGGCCCAGCGUCCUCGACUACGCGCCGGCGCACUCCGCGAUUCCCUCCUUGAGCCCAGACGCUCUGCCUUUCCCCGCCCAUUCUGAAGACUAAGAACCAAUUGAGACUCGAAAAUCCCAUGCCGUCAUUAAGAUUCGACCAAUUAGUGUCGGAAAGGAAAACGCCCGCCUCCCGAGCCAAAUCCCGCGGGCUGGUAGAAGUGGCGGGCGGAAGGCAGGCCAAUGAGGCUCCCGGCCCCGGAGUGGGCGGGGCCCCGCGGGAGCUUCGUCCUGAGGAGAUCUUGAUGGCGUCUGGUUUGUGAGCCCCUAUGCAACAAUGGUCUAACUGCUGGGAUUCGUUGAGUCACCGACCUCGCUGGGCCCUGAUUCUUGACGUCAUAAACAGCACGGGAGCUGAAUCCAGGCCAGAGAUCAGGAAUAUUUUAACUAACUUUCGCUCAAGAUUCUUGCCGCAAAAGAGAUUCAAGCAGAGUUGGUGCAAGGCAAUUAGGAAAGCCAGAUCCAGGGGCCAGCAGGACAUUCUGAUGUGGGGAAUUGGACAAAAGACAGAAGAAGGAUGGGAAUUAGACAUGAGAAGAGCACAGGAACCCCUACUCUAUAGGGGAGCAAGGAAAACAGAAAUAAUCUGAAGAUCUGGGCCCAGAACUCAUCUUUCUACCUAUAGGUAUGUAAACCACAGCAUUAAGGAAAAUUAUCAAUAUUAGUGAGCCCAAAAGAGAAAAAAUAUUGGCUCUCUAAAAUUAAUUACAACUAUAGUCAUUUAUAAACUUGUACUACCAUUUAUGCCUAAUUCCCCAGUGACUCAGCGGUAAAGAAUCCACCUGCAAUGCAGGAGCCACAGGAGAUGCGGGUUUGAUCCCUGGGUCAGGAAGAUCCCCUGGAGGAGGACAUGACAACCCACAGCAGUGUUCUUGCCUGGAGAAUCCCAUAGACAGAAGAGCUGGAGGGCUGUAGUCCAUAGCAUUGCAAAGAGUUGAACAUGACUGAAGCAACUGAGUACCAUGAAGUACAAUAGCACAUAUACAUGUCAUAACGUGUGUGUUCAAUAUAUUAAUUGGAAAGCUAAACUCUGCAACUCUGUAGACAGUUGUUAGUAUUUGUUACUACUUCCUUGUGAUCCAAGGCUCACACCCUAGCACUAGGGAACACAUGAGCCAGAGGGCAGCUUCAUUCUCUUCUGAUGAGAGAGAACUCUGUGGAACACAUUCAUGUUUUAAAUAAGUGUUCUUUUUCCAAUAUAAAUCACUCUGUCAUUGUAGUUGUACUAUUCUCUUGAUCAUGAGCUUUUACUGUUAAGAAAGUAAGUGUUUCAAAUAUAUGCUUUAUCUUAGACAAAUGCAGUAAGGUAUGUGUAAACACGUCGUGAAUUGAAAAGUGUUAUAGAAAUGAGCAGUUUUUGUUAUUAGGUAUUAAGAAUGGUCUCCUUUUAUACAACUGCUCAUGUUUGCUGUUCCUAAACAGUAGAACUCACAUGGUUUAACAAUUUUUCUUUUUUCUUAUUGAUAUGUAAUUGCCAUAUAACAUUACAUUAGUUUUAGGUGUACAACAUGAUGAUGUGAUAACUGUAUGUACUGCAAGACAAUCACCACAAUAAGUUAACAUCCAUCCCCAUACAUAAUUGCAAAAUUUUUUAUCUUAUGAUGAGAUCUUUUAAGAACUACUCUUUUAUCAGCUUUGAAAUUGCAAUAUAGUGUUAUUAAUUAUAGUUGCCAUAUGGUGCAUCACAUCCCCAUGACUUAUUUUAUAACUAGAAGAUUGUAACUUUUGACCCCCUUCACCCAUUUCUAACAUCAUUAAUCUGUUCAUCUCAAAUUUAUUGUAAACAAUACCCUUUAUGAUUAGUGUUACUAUUAUUGUCUAAUAUUUAGAGUACUUGAUACAUGUCUUAGGACUAUAUAUACUGUAUCAGAAUGGUUCUGUCAGGGAAACAGAGCCACUAUAAGUGGUAUAGGAAUAAGGAACUUCAUAUAGAAAUGACAGCUUACAUAAAUAGAGAGGAGCUGGGGAAGUAAAGGUCUAGAAGGUGGCAGCUGUAGGAAUGGAGAGUCACUGGUGACUUCAGCCUGAAGCCCUGGAGUGUGGGUAGAGAAUUUUAGCUCAUGGGAGAGCUCUGAGAAUGCUGCCAAAACCAGAGUGCGAGCUCAUGAAGAGGGCUGUGAGCCCCUGUGUCUGGUGAAGCCCUGAUGAACCUCGGCAACUAUUAUCCCCAAAACAAUGGACUCCCUUCAUAUACCUUCCAAGUCUUGCAUAAGUCACAAACUCAAAGUCUCACAAACUCUAACCUGGAACCACUAGGAAGGGGGAUUCUGGGAAAGGUAGUUCCCAGCCUUAGAUAAAAAUGAUGUCCGUGGUGCCAACUUACCAAUAGGCAAUGCAGCACACAGACUACUGGAUUAUCUACAAAGCACACAUUGCUGCUAACAUCUAGGGGCAGUUAAAAUUGGGGUCACAAAGAAUCAAACACAACUUAGCAACUGAACAACAACAGCAAACAAUUAUGAGAUGCUCAGUAAUUUGCUUGAGGUCACAUACUAAUAGGUGGCAGAGCUAAAACUCAAAUGGAAGUUUGUUCUGAUAACUAUUCUCUAAUGGCCCCUCAAAAAAUCAAUAGAAAUACUGAUUAUCUGUCAUAAUAUUUCUUUUUGUAUUAUUUCCUGUCUGUAUGAGUACCGGAGGCAUAUGUUAUGCCUAGUCUAAAACAUUGUGGGUAAGAGAUACAGAUCUCAGAACUAAAGUGAUGUGUCAGGGCUGCCUGUCUCCUUGCGGCUAAUGGGACAUUUCUCCUGGCUGCAGUAUCAAGUGAACUGCUAGGCAGCUUCCAGAACUACGUUGUCAGAAAUUUUCUUUUCUUCUUCUGAUUGGAGAAAAAAUAAUAUCUACGUUACUCAAUUCUCCAGUUUUCUCCACAUGCUAUGCUCUAAACAAUGUACCUUGAACCUGCUUUUGGAGAGAGGCAAUGCUUUCCAUUACCUCAAGAUGAGUGAGAAGAGCUUCAAGGGAACAUUUGGAGAGCUUGACGUGGAGAGCCUCUUUGGACUCUAUGACACAGAAAGGCUAUUGUCUCAUUCCUGCCUGGGACACACAAAAUAGUGAAAGAUUACAGUUAAGUUUUCUGGUUUAAUGGCAGAAUGAUGAGAGGCGGCUGCGUCAGGAACAGACUACAUUUCUGCCCACAGUACGGCAAGACUGUUUGAGUUUCAUAGUGAGCCAAGUUGAACAGAUGAGAGGGAGCCAAUUGACAGUCGUCAUGUUCACUCCUACCUAAGAUUGGAGGGGAAAUGUGACCCAACAGUGGAUGGCCAGAAGUCCAGGCGCUGAGGGUGGUAUUGCGGUGGCUACUGCUGUACAGCCCCACCUGCACCAAGAAAGCUGUGGUCAGACGUGGGCACACCUCCAGUACAUCCCUUGAGGGACAGAGCCUGCAAUUGGGCACCUGCUCCAUCAGAGGAAAUCAUCAGGUUACAAACUGCACAAGCUACAAAAGGUUUUUUUUUUUCAUUUAAUCCUCUCUCCUUUUGGGCCUGGCCCUGAAAAGGUCAGAAACAGCAUCUAGAACAUAAGGAAGGGAAAGAAGGUACAACAUUGAAGGAGAGAAAUCAGUUAUGCAUCUCUCCUCAGUCAGGCACAUGUCUGGGUGGAGAGAGGCAGGAGGAAGGGAAAAGGGAAGUGAAUAAGAGUUUUGUAUUUCGUGAGAACUUUAAAAUCACUCAUUGGAGGCUGGUUUGUGACUAAAAGCAAACAAGGGAUUUUUUUUCUGAGUGACUGAAAAAGUUUGGGACCUAGAUGAGAUUCUGUCCAGAAAGAGGAUUUAACAGGAAGAAAUGGGAAAGAAUAUUCUGUCCAGAAAGAGGAUUUAACAGGAAGAAAUGGGAAAGAAUAAACCUGAUUUAUGCUUUAUCCUAUUCAGUCCAGCUUGUAAGUAAAAUGAUUAUACCAAUACAAUGGGAGAACAUAAAGAACUCAUAGAAACUCAAGACAUUAUAGCAGAAUCAUAAAAUGCCAUAUAAAGAGCUAGAAAAUAAAAUUGAGGACACCUCCUGGAAGUUGGAUCAAAAAGAAAAAUCCAUGAAAUGAUAUAAAAGACAUAAAAAUCUACAGUCAUCAAAGAAGUCCAAAAUCUGACAUAAUAUAGGAGUUGAAAAGAAGAAAUCAAGGAACAUUUGGAGAGCUUGACGUGGAGAGCCUCUUUGGACUCUAUGACACAGAAAGGCUAUUGUCUCAUUCCUGCCUGGGACACACAAAAUAGUGAAAGAUUACAGUUAAGUUUUCUGGUUUAAUGGCAGAAUGAUGAGGCGGCUGCGUCAGGAACAGACUACAUUUCUGCCCACAGUACGGCAAGACUGUUUGAGUUUCAUAGUGAGCCAAGUUGAACAGAUGAGAGGGAGCCAAUUGACAGUCGUCAUGUUCACUCCUACCUAAGAUUGGAGGGGAAAUGUGACCCAACAGUGGAUGGCCAGAAGUCCAGGCGCUGAGGGUGGUAUUGCGGUGGCUACUGCUGUACAGCCCCACCUGCACCAAGAAAGCUGUGGUCAGACGUGGGCACACCUCCAGUACAUCCCUUGAGGGACAGAGCCUGCAAUUGGGCACCUGCUCCAUCAGAGGAAAUCAUCAGGUUACAAACUGCACAAGCUACAAAAGGUUUUUUUUUUUCAUUUAAUCCUCUCUCCUUUUGGGCCUGGCCCUGAAAAGGUCAGAAACAGCAUCUAGAACAUAAGGAAGGGAAAGAAGGUACAACAUUGAAGGAGAGAAUCAGUUAUGCAUCUCUCCUCAGUCAGGCACAUGUCUGGG
ensembl:lncRNA